GUUGACAAAUUGUUUACGGGAGGCUCUUGAUGAAGUAUCUGACUAGAGCAUACCAUUAUGAAAUUUUUGUAUUUGUGAUAAUCCCAAAAUGGCAUAGAACAAUCUUUCUUCUUCCACAGCUGCAGCGUUCUUGGGCUGAACCUGAACGUGAUCGACUAGAACGGGCAAACAUCUAUGCGAAUGAUGUAGAUAGGAACCCAGUUGGUGCAACCAAAGGGGGUGGUCUCACAGAUCAUGGGGAUUUAGGCUACAAUGUUCGUGCCAAUGAAAGUCUUCGUGCAAAGUUAAUUCCUUUACAGGGAUGUUGCAACAGUGAAGCUUCUCAGCUGCUGAACAGCCAUAUGUUUCAUUAUUUGCCUUUCUUUUGGAGUUGAUAUUACUGGUUUAGUAUUUCCUUGUGAUCACUUAUGUAGAUUUAGAGAGGAACUAAUGCCCUCUACCCUACUUCCAUACUUCCAACGUAAAGUUUAAAAUGAUGCAAUGGAUGCACAGAAUUAGUCUUCUAAUCUUGUGAGAACUUGAGCUCUUUUCUGAUGUAUAAAGAUGAUAGUAUAUAUGAGCAUUGAUGACCUCAAAAUUUUGAUAGCUGCUUCAAGUGCUGAAUAAUGAUUGGAUUACUACAGUACUAGUCUAGCUUACAAUUUACAUAUUAUUUGGGUUCUCAUAUUAUUUGAUGUGCCUAUUUUAAUGAGGAGUUUUAUUUGAAUUUAAACCCUUUCUUGUGCAGUCUGAGAAGUAAUAGAAAACAGACCUGAGCCUAUGUAUGGUAACCCAAUACUAAAAUUGCUACCUGUAAACAGGGUUGAUCACAGAUUCACAAUGUCAUUGAAUGAUGUGAUUUUCUCUAUCAUUUGUGUUUAUGAAUUGCUGUUGUGCUAGGAGUAUAAAGUUGUAAAAUAUUUUUAUUUGAUUUUUGUUUCUUUUCUCUGGGUUUCCUUAGGUGCCAUAUUGCCUAGAAGUUUAGAGAAUUUUCCGAGUUAAUGCAUUUCAACUGUAUUAUGUUUUGAAGGUUGGACAGCUGCCAUGAAUGCUCAUAGCAUUUUGCCAGAAGACUCAUCUGAGAGGCCGGUUGUGUAUGCAAGGAAGAGUGCUGCGCCAUGGGGUCGCUCAAUUCUUCCCCACCUGCUGAUUCAGCCUACUGGUGGGGUCUCUACUGGGUUGCAGGGAGAUUUCUUAAAUGAACUCCGACAGGCAAUGGAUAAUGCAAGUCCCUUCUCCUAAUCCGUUGCUCACCACCUAUACUUUGCAUUUGGUGGAUUUGAUCCUUGAGCUGUAUGACUAGGAUUUGAUGUAUGUGCUUUAUGCCAUGCUGCCCCUUCCAAUGUAAUCUAUCCGCCUGGCACCAAUGUCGAAGGGAUAAUGCCUUGAGCAGCUAAACGCUUCUCAACCCAAAAGACAACAUGUUUUGAUGUAGGCUUCUUCUCAUCAACCAGAAAUGGCUCUACAGUGCUAACUCCUCUACCAUAUGAGGAUAUGGAGAAACCCUUUGGCCCUAUAGUUGAUAAUAAUGCACAUCAGCAUAUAUAUUAUUUUAUUUUCUGGAAUAUCACUCGCAUACCAUUGAUAGUUCCAUCAGGGAAAAAUGCCCAGAAUGAAUAAGGGAGGAAUCACUCUUUCCCCUACCUUGUUAUCAUUGAAGGAAAGCUCGAGCUCGGAGAUGUCUUGUUGGGCUGCAAGAGUUGUUUUGAGUGAAGGGAUCACAUCCUCCUCCAUCAUCUCAGGAAGAGGCUUUGCCGGAGCUUUUUCUGCACGCUUAGGCUUUGGCUUCGGCUCUGCAGUCGCACCUUCCGCCGCCUCUUUCUCCUCCUUUGUCUCAGCAGCAGCAGCAACUGAUUUAACAAUCACCAUAUAUAUUACACUCACAAACUGCACAAGUUAAGCCAAGAAUAUUAAUCACUGAAGAUCUUUGCAUGCAAUAGGGAAAAUCUUGAACUGAUACCAGUGAUGAUGAUGUAGCUCUGCUUUUCUGGCACAAAUAAGAAGAAGGGCAUCUG